AUUGAACGCUGGCGGCAGGCCUAACACAUGCAAGUCGAACGAGUGGCGGACGGGUGAGUAAUGUCUGGGAAACUGCCUGAUGGAGGGGGAUAACUACUGGAAACGGUAGCUAAUACCGCAUACCAUCGGAUGUGCCCAGAUGGGAUUAGCUAGUAGGUGGGGUAAAGGCUAACCUAGGCGACGAUCCCUCGCUGGUCUGAGAGGAUGACCAGCCACACGGGAACUGGGACACGGUCCAGACGGCUACGGGAGGCAGCAGUGGGGAAUAUUGCACAAUGGGCGCAAGCCGGAUUCAGGCAUGCCGCGUGUAUGAAGAAGGCCUUCGGGUUGUAGAGUACUUUCAGCGGGGAGGCGGGAUCCGCAGAAGACGCACCGGCUAACUCCGUGCCAGCAGCCGCGGUAAUUC
rnacentral:rRNA from 1 species